rnacentral:rRNA from 1 species
GGGUUGUGAGGUUAAGCGACUAAGCGUACACGGUGGAUGCCCUGGCAGUCAGAGGCGAUGAAGGACGUGCUAAUCUGCGAAAAGCGUCGGUAAGGUGAUAUGAACCGUUACAGCCGGCGAUGUCCGAAUGGGGAAACCCAGUGCAAUUCGUUGCACUAUCGUUAACUGAAUACAUAGGUUAACGAGGCGAACCGGGGGAACUGAAACAUCUAAGUACCCCGAGGAAAAGAAAUCAACCGAGAUUCCCCCAGUAGCGGCGAGCGAACGGGGAGCAGCCCAGAGUCUGAAUCAGCUUGUGUGUUAGUGGAACGGUCUGGAAAGUCCGACGGUACAGGGUGAUAGUCCCGUACACCAAAAUGCACAGGUUGUGAACUCGAAGAGUAGGGCGGGACACGUGGUAUCCUGUCUGAAUAUGGGGGGACCAUCCUCCAAGGCUAAAUACUCCUGACUGACCGAUAGUGAACCAGUACCGUGAGGGAAAGGCGAAAAGAACCCCGGCGAGGGGAGUGAAAAAGAACCUGAAACCGUGUACGUACAAGCAGUGGGAGCACCUUCGGGUGUGACUGCGUACCUUUUGUAUAAUGGGUCAGCGACUUAUAUUCUGUAGCAAGGUUAACCGUAUAGGGGAGCCGCAGGGAAACCGAGUCUUAACUGGGCGUUAAGUUGCAGGGUAUAGACCCGAAACCCGGUGAUCUAGCCAUGGGCAGGUUGAAGGUUGGGUAACACUAACUGGAGGACCGAACCGACUAAUGUUGAAAAAUUAGCGGAUGACUUGUGGCUGGGGGUGAAAGGCCAAUCAAACCGGGAGAUAGCUGGUUCUCCCGAAAGCUAUUUAGGUAGCGCCUCGUGAAUUCAUCUUCGGGGGUAGAGCACUGUUUCGGCUAGGGGGUCAUCCCGACUUACCAACCCGAUGCAAACUACGAAUACCGAAGAAUGUUAUCACGGGAGACACACGGCGGGUGCUAACGUCCGUCGUGAAGAGGGAAACAACCCAGACCGCCAGCUAAGGUCCCAAAGUCAUGGUUAAGUGGGAAACGAUGUGGGAAGGCACAGACAGCCAGGAUGUUGGCUUAGAAGCAGCCAUCAUUUAAAGAAAGCGUAAUAGCUCACUGGUCGAGUCGGCCUGCGCGGAAGAUGUAACGGGGCUAAACCAUGCACCGAAGCUGCGGCAGCGACACUAUGUGUUGUUGGGUAGGGGAGCGUUCUGUAAGCCUGCGAAGGUGACCUGUGAGGGUUGCUGGAGGUAUCAGAAGUGCGAAUGCUGACAUAAGUAACGAUAAAGCGGGUGAAAAGCCCGCUCGCCGGAAGACCAAGGGUUCCUGUCCAACGUUAAUCGGGGCAGGGUGAGUCGACCCCUAAGGCGAGGCCGAAAGGCGUAGUCGAUGGGAAACAGGUUAAUAUUCCUGUACUUGGUGUUACUGCGAAGGGGGGACGGAGAAGGCUAUGUUAGCCGGGCGACGGUUGUCCCGGUUUAAGCAUGUAGGCUGGUUGUCCAGGCAAAUCCGGAUAAUCAAGGCUGAGGUGUGAUGACGAGGCACUACGGUGCUGAAGUAACAAAUGCCCUGCUUCCGUGAAAGCCUCUAAGCAUCAGGUAACAUCAAAUCGUACCCCAAACCGACACAGGUGGUCAGGUAGAGAAUACCAAGGCGCUUGAGAGAACUCGGGUGAAGGAACUAGGCAAAAUGGUGCCGUAACUUCGGGAGAAGGCACGCUGGUGUGUAGGUGAAGUCCCUGCGGAUGGAGCUGAGACCAGUCGAAGAUACCAGCUGGCUGCAACUGUUUAUUAAAAACACAGCACUGUGCAAACACGAAAGUGGACGUAUACGGUGUGACGCCUGCCCGGUGCCGGAAGGUUAAUUGAUGGGGUUAUCCGUAAGGAGAAGCUCUUGAUCGAAGCCCCGGUAAACGGCGGCCGUAACUAUAACGGUCCUAAGGUAGCGAAAUUCCUUGUCGGGUAAGUUCCGACCUGCACGAAUGGCGUAAUGAUGGCCAGGCUGUCUCCACCCGAGACUCAGUGAAAUUGAACUCGCUGUGAAGAUGCAGUGUACCCGCGGCAAGACGGAAAGACCCGUGAACCUUUACUAUAGCUUGACACUGAACAUUGAGCCUUGAUGUGUAGGAUAGGUGGGAGGCUUUGAAGCGUGGACGCCAGUCUGCGUGGAGCCAACCUUGAAAUACCACCCUUUAAUGUUUGAUGUUCUAACGUUGGCCCCUGACCGGGGUUGCGGACAGUGUCUGGUGGGUAGUUUGACUGGGGCGGUCUCCUCCCAAAGCGUAACGGAGGAGCACGAAGGUUAGCUAAUCCUGGUCGGACAUCAGGAGGUUAGUGCAAUGGCAUAAGCUAGCUUGACUGCGAGCGUGACGGCGCGAGCAGGUGCGAAAGCAGGUCAUAGUGAUCCGGUGGUUCUGAAUGGAAGGGCCAUCGCUCAACGGAUAAAAGGUACUCCGGGGAUAACAGGCUGAUACCGCCCAAGAGUUCAUAUCGACGGCGGUGUUUGGCACCUCGAUGUCGGCUCAUCACAUCCUGGGGCUGAAGUAGGUCCCAAGGGUAUGGCUGUUCGCCAUUUAAAGUGGUACGCGAGCUGGGUUUAGAACGUCGUGAGACAGUUCGGUCCCUAUCUGCCGUGGGCGCUGGAGAAUUGAGGGGGGCUGCUCCUAGUACGAGAGGACCGGAGUGGACGCAUCACUGGUGUUCGGGUUGUCAUGCCAAUGGCACUGCCCGGUAGCUAAAUGCGGAAGAGAUAAGUGCUGAAAGCAUCUAAGCACGAAACUUGCCCCGAGAUGAGUUCUCCCUGAGACUUUAAGUCUCCUGAAGGAACGUUAAAGACGAUGACGUUGAUAGGCCGGGUGUGUAAGCGCAGCGAUGCGUUGAGCUAACCGGUACUAAUGAACCGUGAGGCUUAACCUUACAACGCCGAAG